CAGCUUACACCUGAAAGAUAUCUGUCACCUAUCAGAUCGUCUUGA
rnacentral:tRNA from 1 species